rnacentral:miRNA from 1 species
GGCUUUAAUUAUUUAGCUUUUUGAGACAAUGUCUCACUACAUAGUUCAGGCUGGCCUUGGACUCACUAUGUAGACCAGACUGUCCUCAAACUCAUGAUGAUCCUCUUACCUC